GGUAUUCCUUAUCUAUCUAAUACGUUGAUUGUCUGGAACCUGUCCCAUUGCACCCUUCGGGAAAGACGCAAUAAGACAGGUUCUGCGUUUAGUUGCCGCGCUCUAAAGUUUG
rnacentral:sRNA from 1 species